GUGGGGAAUAUUGGACAAUGGGCGAAAGCCUGAUCCAGCCAUGCCGCGUGUGUGAAGAAGGUCUUCGGAUUGUAAAGCACUUUAAGUUGGGAGGAAGGGCAGUAAGUUAAUACCUUGCUGUUUUGACGUUACCGACAGAAUAAGCACCGGCUAACUUCGUGCCAGCAGCCGCGUUAAUACGAAGGGUGCAAGCGUUAAUCGGAAUUACUGGGCGUAAAGCGCGCGUAGGUGGUUUUGUAAGUUGGAGGUGAAAUCCCCGGGAGCAACCUGGGAACUGCCUGCAAAACUGCAUGACUAGAGUACGGUAGAGGGUAGUGGAAUUUCCUGUGUAGCGGUGAAAUGCGUAGAUAUAGGAAGGAACACCAGUGGCGAAGGCGACUACCUGGACUGAUACUGACACUGAGGUGCGAAAGCGUGGGGAGCAAACAGGAUUAGAAACCCUGGUAGUCC
rnacentral:rRNA from 1 species